UGGGGGAUAUUGCACAAUGGAGGAAACUCUGAUGCAGCGACGCCGCGUGAGGGAAGACGGUCUUCGGAUUGUAAACCUCUGUCUUUGGGGACGAUAAUGACGGUACCCAAGGAGGAAGCUCCGGCUAACUACGUGCCAGCAGCCGCGGUAAUACGUAGGGAGCGAGCGUUGUCCGGAAUUACUGGGUGUAAAGGGAGCGUAGGCGGGGUCUCAAGUCGAAUGUUAAAUCUACCGGCUCAACUGGUAGCUGCGUUCGAAACUGGGGCUCUUGAGUGAAGUAGAGGCAGGCGGAAUUCCUAGUGUAGCGGUGAAAUGCGUAGAUAUUAGGAGGAACACCAGUGGCGAAGGCGGCCUGCUGGGCUUUUACUGACGCUGAGGCUCGAAAGCGUGGGGAGCAAACA
rnacentral:rRNA from 1 species